rnacentral:rRNA from 1 species
CAAAAACAUCUCUUCCUGAAUGAGAUUGGAAGUAGGCCCUGCCCGGUGCCUUACGAGGUAAACGGCGGGGAAACCCUUAAAGUAGCGUGAUAAGUUGGCCUUUAAUUGGGGUCUGGUAUGAAGGGGUUGACGACGGGAAAGCUGUGUCUUGAAGAGAGGCUGAAAUUUUCUUCCUAGUGAAAAGCCUGGGAUGUUAUUAAAAGACGAGAAGACCCCGUCGAGCUUGAGGUAUAAAUAUUCCUUUUAUUUUGGUUUGUGAUUAUUUUUUAAUUUUUGCAGCUUUGGUAGUGGAAUUUUAGGAGUUUUGUUGGGGCAACAAUGGAAAAUGUAAACUUCCGUUAUUUUAUCGUAGAUCCAUUAUUUAUGAAAGCAGGAAAAAGUUACCGCGGGGAUAACAGCGCAAGAUUGCUGGAGAGGUCAUAUCCAAGGCAGUAAUUGCGACCUCGAUGUUGGAUUAGGGUAACUUCCCGGCGCAGCCGCUGGGAGAAGUGGGUCUGCUCGCCCUUUAAAUCCCUACAUGAUCUGAGUU